rnacentral:snRNA from 1 species
UUGAUUUCAAUGGCAAAAUUUUU